GGCUCAGAUUGAACGCUGGCGGCAUGCCUUACACAUGCAAGUCGAACGGCAGCACGGGAGCUUGCUCCUGGUGGCGAGUGGCGAACGGGUGAGUAAUACAUUGGAACGUACCCUGAAGUGGGGAUAACGUAGCGAAAGUUACGCUAAUACCGCAUAUUCUGUGAGCAGGAAAGAGGGGGAUCGCAAGACCUCUUGCUUUAGGAGCGGCCGAUGUCGGAUUAGCUAGUUGGUGAGGUAAAGGCUCACCAAGGCGACGAUCCGUAGCGGGUCUGAGAGGAUGAUCCGCCACACUGGGACUGAGACACGGCCCAGACUCCUACGGGAGGCAGCAGUGGGGAAUUUUGGACAAUGGGCGCAAGCCUGAUCCAGCCAUGCCGCGUGAGUGAAGAAGGCCUUCGGGUUGUAAAGCUCUUUCGGUGGGGAAGAAAUUGCACAGGAUAAUACCUUGUGUAGAUGACGGUACCCGCAUAAGAAGCACCGGCUAACUACGUG
rnacentral:rRNA from 1 species